GGUGGCUCAGUGUUAGAGUGCUUGCCUUGCAUGCAUGAAGCCCUGGGUUCGAUUCCUCAGCACCU
rnacentral:tRNA from 1 species